rnacentral:rRNA from 1 species
GACGAACGCUGGCGGCGCGCCUAACACAUGCAAGUCGAACGGGAGUUGUUUUGGAGAAGCCCUUCGGGGUGGAACUGAUUCAACUUAGUGGCGGACGGGUGAGUAACACGUGAGCAACCUGCCUUACAGAGGGGGAAUAACGUUUGGAAACGAACGCUAGUACCGCAUAACAUAACGGAAUCGCAUGGUUUUGUUAUCAAAGAUUAUAUCGACUGUAAGAUGGGCUCGCGUCUGAUUAGAUAGUUGGUGGGGUAAUGGCUCACCAAGUCGGACGAUCAGUAGCCGGACUGAGAGGUUGAACGGGCCAC